CGAGGGGAAUUGAAACAUCUUAGUACCCUCAGGAAAAGAAAUCAAUAGAGAUUGCGUCAGUAGCGGCGAGCGAAAGCGCAAGAGGGCAAACCCAGUGCUUGCACUGGGGGUUGUAGGACUGCAAUGUGCAAGAGGUAAGUUUAGCAGAACAUUCUGGAAAGUAUAACCAUAGAGGGUGAUAGUCCCGUAUGCGAAAAACAAACCUUAGCUAGCAGUAUCCUGAGUAGGGCGGGACACGAGGAAUCCUGUCUGAAUCCGGGUCGACCACGAUCCAACCCUAAAUACUAAUACCAGAUCGAUAGUGCACAAGUACCGUGAGGGAAAGGUGAAAAGAACUGAGGUGAUCAGAGUGAAAUAGAACCUGAAACCAUUUGCUUACAAUCAUUCAGAGCCCUAUGUAGCAAUACAGGGUGAUGGACUGCCUUUUGCAUAAUGAGCCUGCGAGUUGUGGUGUCUGGCAAGGUUAAGCAAACGCGAAGCCGUAGCGAAAGCGAGUCUGAAUAGGGCGCUUAGUCAGAUGCUGCAGACCCGAAACGAAGUGAUCUAUCCAUGAGCAAGUUGAAGCUAGUGUAAGAACUAGUGGAGGACUGAACCCAUAGGCGUUGAAAAGCCCCGGGAUGACUUGUGGAUAGGGGUGAAAGGCCAAUCAAACUUCGUGAUAGCUGGUUCUCUCCGAAAUAUAUUUAGGUAUAGCGUUGUGUCGUAAUAUAAGGGGGUAGAGCACUGAAUGGGCUAGGGCAUACACCAAUGUACCAAACCCUAUCAAACUCCGAAUACCUUAUAUGUAAUCACAGCAGUCAGGCGGCGAGUGAUAAAAUCCGUCGUCAAGAGGGAAACAACCCAGACUACCAGCUAAGGUCCCUAAAUCUUACUUAAGUGGAAAACGAUGUGAAGUUACUUAAACAACCAGGAGGUUGGCUUAGAAGCAGCCAUCCUUUAAAGAAAGCGUAAUAGCUCACUGGUCUAGUGAUUUUGCGCGGAAAAUAUAACGGGGCUAAAGUAAGUACCGAAGCUGUAGACUUGCACACAACUUAGAUUAUUUAAGUUUAGAAUAUGAGAAACUAAGUUAUAU
rnacentral:rRNA from 1 species